UACGAAGGGGGCUAGCGUUGCUCGGAAUCACUGGGCGGAAAGGGUGCGUAGGCGGGUCUUUAAGUCAGGGGUGAAAUCCUGGAGCUCAACUCCAGAACUGCCUUUGAUACUGGAGAGCUUGAGUCCGGAAGAGGUGAGUGGAACUCCGAGUGUAGAGGUGAAAUUCGUAGAUAUUCGGAAGAACACCAGUGGCGAAGGCGGCUCACUGGUCCGGUACUGACGCUGAGGUGCGAAAGCGUGGGGAGCAAACAGG
rnacentral:rRNA from 1 species